ensembl:lincRNA
AUGGAGAUCUUAGCUGUGCUUAAAGCCUGGGCGGAGGUCUAUAUAAUUACUGUGCAAAGACAUAAAAACCACAGACAAGCUUUGAAGACUACCACCUGUUUAGAAGACAGUAUCAGAUAUGGAUCAUGUUCAUCAGAUGGACUAUUUGACUUAGUCUGCUCAGAUCUUGGCACACUAAGCAGACUCUGGCUUGCUGCACUUCAGGAUUUUGCUCUUUUAACUUUGCCUUCAGAAUUUGCCUCCCAACUUCCUGCUGAAGGCGGUGCUUUCUACACAGCAGAGACUAGUGAAAAUGCAAAAUUGCAUUAUUACAACUCUUGGGCGCUUAUCCUCCAUGCUACGGCAUUGUGGCUUACAAGCACGGGCUUUGUUGUUGCUGACCCAGACGAAGGAGCAUCUAAUCUCUCCAGGCCUGUAACACCAACUUCCAUGUGUCAGGGUUCAUCAUCUGGGGCUACCAUAAAGUCCCCUGAGGAUGUCUACACUGAUAGAUUCCAUCUUAUUUUAGGAAUCAGCGUGGAAUUUCUAUGUUCCUUACGUUCAGACGCAACCAUGGAAAGCAUAACUGCUUGUUUACAUGCAUUGCAAGCACUUCUAGAUGUACCUUGGCCCAGAUCAAAAAUUGGCAGUAAUCAGGACUUGGGUAUAGAAUUGCUGAAUGUUCUACAUCGAGUAAUUUUGACCAGAGAAUCACCUUCUGUUCAAUUGGCUUCACUUGAAGUGGUAAUGCAGAUUAUCUGUGCUGCUCAAGAACAUGUGAAGGAAAAAAGACGAAGUGCAGAAGUUGAUGAUGGAGCUGCUGAAAAGGAAACUCUGCCAGAGUUUGGAGAGGGAAAGGACACUGGAGGACUUGUGCCUGGGAAGUCUUUGGUGUUUGCAACACUGGAAUUGUGUGUAUGCAUUCUAGUUAGACAGCUCCCAGAACUAAAUCCUAAAUUGACAGGUAGUCCAGGAGUAAAAGCUACAAAGCCACAGAUGCUAUCAGAGGAUGGAAGUAGAUUGGUUUCAGCUGCGUUGGUUAUCCUUUCUGAACUUCCUGCAGUGUGCUCUCCUGAAGGAAGCAUCUCAAUUCUCCCUACUAUAUUGUACCUCACAAUUGGGGUCCUCAGAGAGACUGCUGUGAAGUUACCUGGGGGCCAGUUAUCUUCAACAGUUGCAGCUUCCCUACAGGCUCUAAAAGGAAUAUUAUCUUCUCCAAUGGCCCAGGCAGAAAAGAGCCAUACUGCUUGGACUGACCUUCUUCGAAGUGCUUUAACAACAAUUCUUGACUGUUGGGAUCCAGGUGAUGAAACACACCAAGAACUUGAUGAAGUCAGUCUACUUACUGCUAUCACAGUGUUUAUUUUGUCUACCAGUCCAGAAGUAACUACCAUCCCAUGCCUUCAGAAGCGCUGUAUUGAUAAAUUUAAAGCUACUCUUGAGAUAAAAGAUCCUAUGACGGAGUUUUUUGCUCUUGUUACCCAGGCUGAAGUGCAAUGGCGCGAUCUCGGCUCACCGCAACCUCUGCCUCCUGGGUUCAGGCAAUUCUCCUGCCUCAGUCUCCUGAGUAGCUGGGAUUACAGGCACUCGCCACCAUGCCCAACUAAUUUUUUGUAUUUUUAGUAGAGACGGGGUUUCAUCAUGUUGACCAGGAUGGUCUCUAUCUCUUGACCUUGUGAUCCACCCGCCUCGGCCUCCCAAACUGCUGGGAUUACAGGCGUGAGCCACUGUGCCCGGCCAAAUUUUUGUUUUUAGAUUUGGAUUAAGUUCUGUUCCUAGAGUGACAAAGCCGAAUAACAGUAGUCUUGUUCUUCAGCCCUAAGGGUAGAGGAUAGUGGCAGAAGAGGAAAUGUUAAAAAACUAAAUUUGAAAUGGAGGAAUCUUAAGAUUGAUGUAGCACAAGAACUUUAUAAGCAAGAUACUUGGUAGUGUAUUAUAGUAGAUUUUCUUUAAAAAAAAAAAAAAAAAAAAACGAGAGAGAGAAAGGGAGGCCGAGCACUGUGGCUCAUGCCUGUAAUUCCAUCCAGCACUUUGGUAGGACAUGGUAGGUGGAUUCCUUGAGGCCAGAAGUCCGAGAGCAGCCUGGGCAGUAUGGUGAGAACCCAUCUCUACAAAAAAGUAAAAAAUUAGUGAGGCGUGGUGGCACAGGCCUGUAGUCCCAGCUGCUCGGGGGCACUGAGGCAGUAGGAUCACUUGAGCCUGGGACCUUGAGGCUGCA